rnacentral:lncRNA from 1 species
AUGUCUAAAGAAGAGUCUUUCCCUUAUAAGUAAUGCUUCAGAAUCCAAAGUGGGAAAAUGUAAGUCUGCUCAGGGAAGAUGCUAACCUAGAAAUCACAGACUGCUGGGCUGUGGGAACUUGGGGAUGCUUGUGCAAGCAACCUUGGAGGUCUGGGAGAAUAUUGGAGAUGAGGCUCUAGGGCAGGGGUGGAAAGGAAGGAAGACUGAACUUCUGCUGAUGAGCAAGUAAGAGUUCUAGGACUUAGGUCACAUGGUUAAGAUGAAUUUUAUGUAACUCUGCAGGGAAAAAAAACAAUAACUGUACCUCUUAAAAUUCCAUGUCCUUUAUACACUAUUUCCUACCCAGAUUU